rnacentral:rRNA from 1 species
GGAUGAACGCUAGCGGCAGGCUUAACACAUGCAAGUCGAGGGGCAGCACGGGUAGCAAUACCUGGUGGCGACCGGCGCAAGGGUGCGUAACGCGUGAGCAACAUGCCCUAUACAGGGGGAUAAUCCAGGGAAACUUGGUCUAAUAUCCCAUAGCAUUUAGAGGAGGCAUCUUCACUAAAUUAAAGCUUCGGUGGUAUAGGAUUGGCUCGCGUGACAUUAGCUAGAUGGUGAGGUAACGGCCCACCAUGGCUAUGAUGUCUAGGGGUUCUGAGAGGAAGACCCCCCACAAUGGAACUGAAACACGGUCCAUACACCUACGGGUGGCAGCAGUAGGGAAUAUUAGAAAUGGGCGGAAGCCUGAUCUAGCAACACCGCGUGUGCGAUGAAGGCCUUCGGGUCGUAAAGCACUUUUUGGAGGGAAUAGGAAGGAAGGUACCUCCAGAAUAAGUCUCGGCUAACUACGUGCCAGCAGCCGCGGUAACACGUAGGAGGCAAACGUUAUCCGGAUUCACUGGGCGUAAAGCGCGUGCAGGUGGUUUCGUAAGUAGGGCGUGAAAGCUCCCGGCUCAACUGGGAGAGGCCGUACUAAACUGCGGAGCUAGAGGAUGGUAGAGGGAGGUGGAAUUCCAGGUGUAGUGGUGAAAUGCGCAGAUAUCUGGAGGAACACCAGUGGCGAAGGCGGCCUCCUGGACCAUACCUGACACUCAGACGCGAAAGCUAGGGUAGCAAACGGAAUUAGAGACUCCGGUAGUCCUAGCCCUAAACGAUGCAGACUAGGCGUCGGCGGUUUAAUCACCGUCGGUGUCCAAGCUAACGCGAUAAGUCUGCCGCCUGAGGACUACGGCCGCAAGGCUAAAACUCAAAGGAAUUGACGGGUCCCCGCACAAGCAGCGGAGCGUGUGGUUUAAUUCGAUGCUCCGCGAAGAACCUUACCUGGGUUUGACAUAACAGUGGUAGAGAAACGAAAGUGGACCGACCCUUCGGGGAGCUGUUACAGGUGUUGCAUGGCUGUCGUCAGCUCGUGUCGUGAGAUGUUCGGUUAAGUCCGCUAACGAGCGCAACCCGCGCUGUGUGUUACAAGUGUCACACAGUACCGCCGGUAUUAAGUCGGAGGAAGGUGCGGAUGACGUCAAGUCAGCAUGACCUUUAUAUCCAGGGCUACACACACGCUACAAUGGUCAGCACAAUAGGUUGCCAAGCCGCAAGGCGGAGCCAAUCCUCCAAAGCUGGCCUCAGUUCAGAUUGCAGGCUGCAACUCGCCUGCAUGAAGUCGGAGUUGCUAGUAACCGCAGGUCAGCAUACUGCGGUGAAUACGUUCCCGGGGAU